CAUCGGACAGCACCGUGUGGCAGGAGCGGGGGACCCAGGUACCCCAGGUACAGCGCCGGACGGCCGCGCACACCGCGCGCCGGACGGCUCGGGGUGAAGCCGCGCGCGAGCGCGGCCGGGCAGCUCCAGCCCGAACCCGACAGCUCACCUCGCAGGCGCCGGAGAGGAACA
rnacentral:sRNA from 2 species